AGAGUCCUGAGCUGAACAAAGAAGGAGGAGGGGGUCGGGCCUCCGAGGAAGGCCUAGCCGCUGCUGCUGCCAGGAACUCCAGGUAGGAGGGGCGGCAACCUCCUGCCAGCCUUCAGGCCACUCUCCUGUGCCUGCCAGAGGAGACAGAGCUUGAGGAGAGCAGGAAAGGGCGGCAGUAAGUCUUCAGCAUCAGGCAUUUUGGGGUGACUCAGUAAAUGGUAGAUCUUGCUACCAAUGGAACAGCCACUAAGGAUUCUGCAGUGAGAGCAGAGGGCCAGCUAAGUGGUACUCUCCCAGAGACUGUCUGACUCAACGCCACCCCCUCCACCUUGGACACAGGACGCUGUGGUUUCUGAGCCAGGUACAAUGACUCCUUUCGGUACGUGCAGUGGAAGCUGUACACUGCCCAGGCAAAGCGUCCAGGCAGCGUGGGCGGGCGACUCAGAGCCCAGCCGGUGGACUUAGCCCCUGUUUGCUCCUCCGAUAACUGGGGUGACCUUGGUUAAUAUUCACCAGCAGCCUCCCCCAUUGCCCCUCUGCAUCCACUGCUUAAAUACGGACGAGGACAGG
rnacentral:sRNA from 1 species